AUGGCGGGACUGAAGCCCAGCGUCAACCUCUUCGCGCUCCUCGACAGCAACGACCCCGGCGACAAACUCGUGAUCGACCUCCACGAUGACAAUGCCGAGCAAGAUGCGCCGGCGGCCAAGCACAAGAAGACGGCGACGCCGGCUGCCAGUCUUACCAAGGACCUAUUCGCCCAGGCAUACCCUACCGCACGGGAUUACGUAAUCAGAAAAAAUCAGCUGGAGAGACAAGCCCGGGCCAGGGCCAGGGCGGAGGCCGAGGCCAAGGCAAGGGCAAAGGCGAACAACGGAGUUUCCGGCGAUGACAAGAGCGCGGGUGCUUCGGCUGACAGUAGCAAGGUACAAGGCGGAGCAAGGCGAGGCACAUACAACAAUAACUACUACAACAACGGAGCAUCAAGGAAGCAGCAACCCAGCAUGCCGGGCAAAUUCGGAGCUCCACAGAGGCAGCAACCCAACAUGUCGUUGAACGGGGCGGCACCUGCAGAAGGCGUGGAGGCGCAGCCGGCACCCCAGCAGGCUCCUCUGCCGCCGCCACCGAGCCUAGAUGACAUCAAUGAGUUCCCUUCCUUGAAGUAG
rnacentral:rRNA from 1 species